rnacentral:rRNA from 1 species
CCUACGGGAGGCAGCAGUGGGGAAUAUUGCACAAUGGGGGAAACCCUGAUGCAGCGACGCCGCGUGAGCGAGGAAGUAUUUCGGUAUGUAAAGCUCUGUCAGUAGGGAAGAAGAAUGACGGAACCUGAAGAAGAAGCACCGGCUAAAUACGUCCCAGCAGCCGCGGUAAUACGUAUGGUGCACGCGGUAUCCGGAUUUACUGGGGUUAAAGGGAUCGCAGGCGGUUUUGCAAGUCUGAUGUGAAAGUCCGGGGCUCAACCGGGGGACUGCAUUGGAAACUGCGGGACUGGAGUGUAGGAGGGGUAAGCGGAAUUCGUGGUGUAGCGGUGAAAUGCGUAGAUAUCACGAGGAACACCGGUGGCGAAGGCGGCUUACUGGACGAUCACUGACGCUGAGGCUCGAAAGCGUGGGGAGCAAACAGGAUUAGAUACCCGAGUAGUC